AUCUCUGCUGCAGAUGGCAUCACUAGGGCCCA
rnacentral:piRNA from 1 species